UUGAGCGCUGGCGGCAUGCCUUACACAUGCAAGUCGAACGCGAAAGGGGGCAACCCUGAGUAGAGUGGCGAACGGGUGAGUAAUGCAUCGGAACGUGUCCUGUAGCGGGGGACAACCCCGAGAAAUCGGGGCUAAUACCGCAUACGUCCUACGGGAGAAAGUGGGGACCGCAAGGCCUCACACUAUAGGGGCGGCCGAUGCCGGAUUAGCUAGUUGGUGAGGUAAAAGCUCACCAAGGCGACGAUCCGUAGCUGGUCUGAGAGGAUGAUCAGCCACACUGGGACUGAGACACGGCCCAGACUACUACGGGAGGCAGCAGUGGGGAAUUUUGGACAAUGGGCGCAAGCCUGAUCCAGCCAUGCCGCGUGAGUGAAGAAGGCCUUCGGGUUGUAAAGCUCUUUCAGCAGGAACGAAACGGUCGGCUUUAAUACGGUCGGCUAAUGACGGUACCUGCAGAAGAAGCACCGGCUAACUACGU
rnacentral:rRNA from 1 species